UACGGGGGGGGCAAGCGUUGUUCGGAAUUACUGGGCGUAAAGGGCUCGUAGGCGGCCAACUAAGUCAGACGUGAAAUCCCUCGGCUUAACCGGGGAACUGCGUCUGAUACUGGAUGGCUUGAGAUUGGGAGAGGGAUGCGGAAUUCCAGGUGUAGCGGUGAAAUGCGUAGAUAUCUGGAGGAACACCGGUGGCGAAGGCGGUCUGCUGGGCAGUUGCUGACGCUGAUGCGCGACAGCGUGGGGAGCAAACAGG
rnacentral:rRNA from 1 species